AGCAGCCGCGGUAAUUCCAGCUCCAAUAGCGUAUAUUAAAGUUGUUGCAGUUAAAAAGCUCGUAGUUGAAUUUCGGGGUUUAUCCGUUGGUCGGGCUUUUUGGUCUGUACUGGCGUGAUGGAUUCCUACCUUUUGAAUAACCGGCAUGCCAUUAAUUUGGUGCGCCGGGGAAGCAGGACUGUUACCUUGAAAAAAUUUAGAGUGCUUAAAGCAGGCUUAUGCCUGAAUACAUUAGCAUGGAAUAAUGAAAUAGGACGGCAUGGUUCUAUUUUGUUGGUUUCUAGGAUCACCGUAAUGAUUAAUAGGGAUAGUUGGGGGCAUUAGUAUUCAAUUGUCAGAGGUGAAAUUCUUGGAUUUAUUGAAGACUAACUUCUGCGAAAGCAUUUGCCAAGGAUGUUUUCAUUAAUCAAGAACGAAAGUUAGGGGAUCGAAGACGAUCAGAUACCGUCGUAGUCUUAACCAUAAACUAUGCCGAACUAGGGAUCGGACGAUGUUAAUUUUUUUAAUGACUCGUUCGGCG
rnacentral:rRNA from 1 species